GAUGAACGCUGGCGGCGUGCUUAACACAUGCAAGUCGAACGAUGAAAGCGGGAGCUUGCUCCUGCUGGAUUAGUGGCGAACGGGUGAGUAACACGUGAGCAAUCUGCCCCGAACUCUGGGAUAAGCGUUGGAAACGACGUCUAAUACCGGAUACGACGCGCGAAGGCAUCUUCUGCGGGUGGAAAGAACUUCGGUUCGGGAUGAGCUCGCGGCCUAUCAGCUAGUUGGGGAGGUAACGGCCCACCAAGGCGACGACGGGUAGCCGGCCUGAGAGGGUGUCCGGCCACACUGGGACUGCGAUACGGCCCAGACUCCUACGGGAGGCAGCAGUGGGGAAUAUUGCACAAUGGGCGCAAGCCUGAUGCAGCGACACCGCGUGAGGGAUGACGGCCUUCGGGUUGUAAACCUCUUUCAGUAGGGACGAAGCGCAAGUGACGGUACCUACAGAAGAAGCACCGGCCAACUACGUGCCAGCAGCCGCCGUAAUAC
rnacentral:rRNA from 1 species